rnacentral:rRNA from 1 species
GAUGGACGCUGGCGGCGUGCCUAAUACAUGCAAGUCGAGCGAACAGACGAGGAGCUUGCUCCUCUGACGUUAGCGGCGGACGGGUGAGUAACACGUGGAUAACCUACCUAUAAGACUGGGAUAACUUCGGGAAACCGGAGCUAAUACCGGAUAAUAUAUUGAACCGCAUGGUUCAAUAGUGAAAGACGGUUUUGCUGUCACUUAUAGAUGGAUCCGCGCCGCAUUAGCUAGUUGGUAAGGUAACGGCUUACCAAGGCAACGAUGCGUAGCCGACCUGAGAGGGUGAUCGGUCACACUGGAACUGAGACACGGUCCAGACUCCUACGGGAGGCAGCAGUAGGGAAUCUUCCGCAAUGGGCGAAAGCCUGACGGAGCAACGCCGCGUGAGUGAUGAAGGUCUUCGGAUCGUAAAACUCUGUUAUUAGGGAAGAACAAAUGUGUAAGUAACUAUGCACGUCUUGACGGUACCUAAUCAGAAAGCCACGGCUAACUACGUG